rnacentral:tRNA from 1 species
GCAGGGGUGGUUCAGGGGUGGAAUUCUCGUCUUCCAUGCGGGAGACCCAGGUUCGAUUCCCGGCCAGUGCA